UGGCGAACGGGUGAGUAGCACGUGGGUGAUCUGCCCUGCACUUCGGGAUACGCCUGGGAAACUGGGUCUAAUACCGGAUAGGAGCCAUUUUUAGUGUGAUGGUUGGAAAGUUUUUUCGGUGUAGGAUGAGCUCGCGGCCUAUCAGCUUGUUGGUGGGGUAAUGGCCUACCAAGGCGGCGACGGGUAGCCGGCCUGAGAGGGUGGACGGCCACAUUGGGACUGAGAUACGGCCCAG
rnacentral:rRNA from 1 species